rnacentral:misc_RNA from 1 species
GGAGAGCCAUGGUGCAAUUUCUAAAAUUCACCAUUUCCAACUUAAUCAUUUUACUGGAAGAUUUAAUGGGCUGCCUAAUUACUAAUCGGUCUCACUCUGCACAUUAUCCAUUUUCAUGCAUAUCUCAUACACAUUGUGAAAAUAUAUAUCACAUACAUAUAUCCAUACAAUGGAAAUGUAAAAGGUAUGAUCAUGGACUAUUCUAA